CAGGCAGGACAUCCACGAUGACAAUGACUGGCUUGCAAUCAACCUGGGUUCAUACUCCGAGUACACAACCUAUUCGGAUCUCAAAGACUUCAACAUCUCAGGGGUGGCAGUUCUAGACUCCCUCUCACCAAACCAGAAAGCUGAAUUGAUACUGGACCCAAGCACUGGCGCUCUGGAGAAUGAGACUCUUGUGAAGAACGUUUUCAUCAGCUUGCUGGAAUCUCCAAGGGAAGAGCAGCUCAAUGAGUUCUUUGUGACUUUUGUUGAAGUCACCAAGCAGG